AAGAAUGAAAAAAAAAAAAAAAAAAGGAAAUCGAGACAAGAGGUGGAAAGUGAGAGCACUCAGAGCAGAGAGUGUAGUGUACCCAGUAAAGCUGGCACCGAGCUCCCAAGCAAAACUUCCCAAUUCGAUCCUAGCAAUGGCCAAAUCGAAAUCCCUUUCGGUUUCAGAUGAGGCAAACGAUACCCGUGAAGGUCCUUAUCCAUGCAAACCAUAUCGCUUUGUGUAUCUUGGCAAGUCCCCACUUCCGCUUCGAUAGCCAAUUUUAUCAGCUUUCCAUCGACAAUCGAUUUGUGUAACUUGGAAAGUCUCAUUUUGAAUCUCAAAAGUUGCAACAGUGCCAGAUGAAUGCUUUUAAGAGCCAAUUUUAUCAGCUUCCUGUCGACAAUCGAUUUCAUUUUGUUCUAUUCAAUGUGUUUGCUCAAAGCUAGCCUAACGAGUUCCAGUUCCAAGAUUUGGUAUUUUGUGGUAAUAGACUUUGAGGCUGCAUGUGAUAAGGAUAGAAAUCCGGAUCCUCAAGAGAUAAUUGAGUUUCCAUAUGUGAUUGUGAGUUGACUGGCCAACUGGAACCAUGUUUCCAGACUUAUGUGCGGCCAACCUGCAAUCAUCUACUGAGUGAUUUCUAUAAGGAUCUGACAGGCAUACAGCAAAUUCAGGAGGAUCAUGUAAAGCGUGUAGAGAAUCUUGUGAAACAACUUGCACCACCAAUUUUUAAGGUUCACUACACUAAAGAACAAGAUAGUUUUGCAAUUUCAUAUGAAUGUGGCAAAAACCAAAGCAGCAACUAUCAAGAAGCAAUGCAGCAAUUAUCAAGUAAAAAUGUGAUGUGUUCAAAUAAAAAAAGACUGCUGCAUCUUUAAAUAUUGCAUAAGAAAAUCAUCGAACAAUUUAUGAAGGCCAAAAAUGUUAAGUUCUGAAAGUUUCUCCUACGAGACACAUGUUACCAGAUUUUUGUGAUAAUUGAAUAGAAUAACAUAAUUCAGGAACAAGAACAGUACGAGGGAGAUCAUAAUAGAAUAGAGAAUAGGAAAGUUAAAUCUUAUUCAACUAUUUACUUCUAGAAAUUCUCUGUAACAUGGUUGUAAUAUGUGAGAUUGUGUUUCUUUCAGUAGAAAAGUUUAAACUUCAAAUCUCUCAAAACUCGUGUUGCAGGCUUUGGUUUUGAGACAUGGUUCUUUAUAUGUAUUGCUCCCAAGGGAUUAGAUCAUGAGACAUGGUCCUGUAAUACACAAUGCAAACUGUGGCUUGUUUCUAUGAGACAUGGUUCUUUGUAUGUAUUGCACACUUAUGAUGCCGUGCAAAAAUCUGCACAUGCCAUUACCUUUGCAAAUAUCUAAAAUAUAAUGUGAAGUGGGAAGACAAGAUUCAUAUAUAGAACUGUGGUACUGGUAACUGUGGUUGGAGUAAAUUUAUUCACUUUCACAACUGACUUGGAGAGUCAAGUCAGUUGUUUUCAUUUCUGUGUUUAUUAAUUGGCACUGUUCUUUCUGCUAGGAGUUAUUCUAACGAGGAAGUUACCAAAGCUGCCAAGAACUAAAUGCAGGUUUGUCUCAUAAAGAGAAGAAAAGAAGCUAGAAUGAGCUACGUAGGAUUGAAAGGCGAUUGCAAUACCACGUUCCAGAAUCUGUCUGUGCAGAACAUCCAACUUCGCCGAAUUACUGGGAGUUACCCACAUCGAAUCAGACAAUGACCCUUAUAUUCAUGGAAAGCUACGGAUGUCUAUUUUCUGUAGAAUUUUACGGAUCUUGAUUUCGAUAUUUCUGGAGAAAGUUAUGAUUAUUUGAGUGAAGAUAGGUCGGACAGGAAAUCUGCUCGGGAAUUUACAACCAUUCGUGGAGAACUCAAGUUCCAUGGCACAAGAUCAUCAAUCCUAACGUUUUAAGGAAUUUAAUUCAGAUGAGGAUUCAAUGAUUAACUUAUUCCUACUUCUACAAGAGAUAUUUCAAGCUUUUCCCAUUCCAAAUGAAGAAAGGAAUCUAAACCCAAGUUUUACAAGGAAACAUGAAGCCAAAGGAUGAGCAGAAAUCUUCCCUAUAUAAGGGAGCACGAAUUUACAUGAAGAGAGAGUCUCGGGAGCACAAUGUAGACGCCUAAGGAGUAGAGACGACUCAUCCAUCUUCCCUUUC